GCAGUGAGGAAUAUUGGACAAUGGGUGAGAGCCUGAUCCAGCCAUCCCGCGUGAAGGACUAAGGCCCUAUGGGUUGUAAACUUCUUUUAUACUGGGAUAAACCUACUUACGUGUAAGUAGCUGAAGGUACAGUAUGAAUAAGCACCGGCUAACUCCGUGCCAGCAGCCGCGGUAAUACGGAGGGUGCAAGCGUUAUCCGGAUUUAUUGGGUUUAAAGGGUCCGUAGGCGGAUCCGUAAGUCAGUGGUGAAAUCUCAUAGCUUAACUAUGAAACUGCCAUUGAUACUGCGGGUCUUGAGUGAGAUUGAGGUAGCUGGAAUAAGUAGUGUAGCGGUGAAAUGCAUAGAUAUUACUUAGAACACCAAUUGCGAAGGCAGGUUACCAAGUCUUAACUGACGCUGAUGGACGAAAGCGUGGGGAGCGAACAGGAUUAGA
rnacentral:rRNA from 1 species